GUGCACAGAGUGUGUCCAUAAGCUUUCCCCAGCUGAUGGCCAGACUCUGUGCAUAGUGUGUUUAGGCGCGGGCCAUCUCCUCAUAGCCUGCUCCAUCUGCGCAGGCUUUAACCCUAGGGCCCUUAAAGA